AAGUGGUUCUGUGGUGGAGCUCAAUGUAAUAAACACUCCGGUCCGGAAGGGGGCGGUACUGUCGGGUAGGAACCUUUAACGGGGAGUUUGUAUCCGGUCGGACGUGUUUCUGUGUAACGCUUCCGGAUGUUUCUGUCUGAGUGCCGCGAGCCAGAAAAUAAAAUGUUAAAGAAAUAAAAUCAUCAGUUUGUUUUCGACGGAAGAAGAAGAAUCCGCUGAUCUGAGUAUGGAGCUUUCAUCUUUACUUCAUGACCUUCAUCUCUGCCCCUCCUCCUCCUCCUCGGAGAAGCCCCGCCCCUCUCCCUCCCUCCCUCCAAUCACAGAGCUCCUCUCUCGGCUGCAGGAGAAGCUGAUUGGUGCGUCCUCCGACUCUGAGACGAGCUCCCUGAUUGGUCGCGUGGAGCAUCUCUUCCAAACGGCCGAUCCCCAUUGGCUGUUCUCCCCGGCCAAUCAGGAUGAGGGGUGGGCGGAGCUCCGGGCAGCGUACGGCUCUGUGGUCGGCGCUCUGAUUGGCUGUGCAGCUCUGCCGCUCUGUGAGGACGACUGCGGCUCUCUGCCCGCCGCAGCCUAUCACAGCGUCCCGCCCCGAGCUGGAGCGGCGUGCUCCGCCCUCGCAGCGCUGCUAGGAACUCUGGGAAACGUAGGCGGUCGGGACGGUCUGCUGCAGACUGUAGCUCCGCCCAUCUGCGUGUUCGCUGUCACACAUUUCCAGGAGCAGGUCUGGACCAGCUCCGCCUCCCGAGCGGCGGCGCAGAGUCUGCAGGAGGCGCUGCUGAGGGCGGGAAGCUGGAGAGACUCCGCCCACCUCCUGAUGGGGGACAGGGGUCAGGAGGGAGAACAGAACAGAGGCAUUCUGGGAGGAAUCCUGGACGUCCUGCAGCCUCAACUGACCAAGUGAGAACUGUGUGUGUGUGUGUGUGUGUGUGUGUGUGUCUGUGUGUGUGUGUGUGUGUGUGUCUGUGUGUGUUUGUGUGUGUCUGUGUGUGUUUGUGUCUGUGUGUGUUUGUGUGUGUCUGUGUGUGUGUGUGUCUGUGUGUGUUUGUGUCUGUGUGUGUUUGUGUGUGUCUGUGUGUGUGUGUGUCUGUGUGUGUUUGUGUCUGUGUGUGUUUGUGUGUGUGUGUUUGUGUGUGUGUGUGUUUGUGUGUGUGUUUGUGUGUGUGUGUGUUUGUGUGUGUGUGUUUGUGUGUGUGUGUGUGUGUGUGUUUGUGUGUGUGUGUUUGUGUGUUUGUGUGUGUGUGUUUGUGUGUGUGUGUUUGUGUGUGUGUGUUUGUGUGUGUGUGUGUGUGUGUGUGUGUGUGUGUUUGUGUGUGUGUGUGUGUGUGUUUGUGUGUGUGUGUGUGUGUGUGUGUGUGUGUGUGUGUGUGUGUGUGUGUCUGUGUGUGUGUGUGUCUGUGUGUGUNNNNNNNNNNNNNNNNNNNNNNNNNNNNNNNNNNNNNNNNNNNNNNNNNNNNNNNNNNNNNNNNNNNNNNNNNNNNNNNNNNNNNNNNNNNNNNNNNNNNACCAGUACCGCUGCUUCUACCAGUACCAUCAGUACCGCUGCUUCUAACAGUACCGUCAGUACCACUGCUUCUAACAGUACCGCUGCUUCUAACAGUACCGUCAGUACCGCUGCUUCUACCAGUACCGUCAGUACCACUACUACUACCAGUACCGCUGCUUCUAACAGUACCAUCAGUACCGCUGCUUCUAACAGUACCCUCAGUACCACUGCUUCUACUAGUACCGCUGCUUCUACCAGUACCGUCAGUACUAUUACUACUACCAGUACCACUGCUUCUAACAGUACCGCUGCUUCUAACAGUACCGUCAGUACCGCUGCUUCUACCAGUACCGUCAGUACCACUACUACUACCAGUACCGCUGCUUCUAACAGUACCAUCAGUACCGCUGCUUCUAACAGUACCCUCAGUACCACUGCUUCUACUAGUACCGCUGCUUCUACCAGUACCGUCAGUACUAUUACUACUACCAGUACCGCUGCUUCUAACAGUACCAUCAGUACCGCUGCUUCUAACAGUACCGUCAGUACCACUGCCUCUACCAGUACCGCUGCUUCUACCAGUACCGUCAGUACUAUUACUACUACCAGUACCGCUGCUUCUAACAGUACCAUCAGUACCGCUGCUUCUAACAGUACCGUCAGUACCACUGCCUCUACCAGUACCGCUGCUUCUACCAGUACCGUCAGUACUAUUACUACUACCAGUACCGCUACUUCUACCAGUACCGUCAGUACCGCUGCUUCUAACAGUACCGCUGCUUCUACCAGUACCGUCAAUACCGCAACUACUACCAGUACCGCUACUUCUACCAGUACCGCUGCUUCUACCAGUACCGUCAGUACCGCUACUACUACCAGUACCGCUGCUUCUAACAGUACCGUCAGUACCGCUGCUUCUACCAGUACCGUCAGUACCACUGCUUCUACCAGUACCGCUGCUUCUACCAGUACCGUCAGUACUGCUACUACUACCAGUACCGCUACUACUACCAGUACCGCUACUUCUAUCAGUACCGCUCCUUCUAACAGUACCGUCAGUACCGCUGCUUCUAACAGUACCGCUGCUUCUACCAGUACCGUCAAUUCCCCUACUACUACCAGUACCGCUACUUCUACCAGUACCGCUCCUUCUAACAGUACCGUCAGUACCACUGCUUCUAACAGUACCGCUGCUUCUAUCAGUACCGUCAGUACCGCUACUUCUACCAGUACCGCUACUUCUACCAGUACCACUCCUUCUAACAGUCCCGUCUGUACCGCUGCUUCUACCAGUACCGUCAGUACCGCUACUACUACCAGUACAGCUCCUUCUAACAGUACUGUCAGUAAUGCUGCUUCUACCGGUACCGCUGCUUCUACCAGUACCGCUGCUUCUACCAGUACCACUCCUUCUAACAGUACCGUCAGUACCGCUGCUUCUACCAGUACCAUCAGUACCGCUACUACUACCAGUACCACUCCUUCUACCAGUACCGUCAGUACCGCUGCUUCUACCAGCGGUACAGUAA
rnacentral:lncRNA from 15 species